GAGUCUUUGGAGAGUUGUGAGGAGAUAAGUGACAUAAACUGGCAUGUUCUGAAAGAAUCACUCUGGAUGCUGUGUGGAGAAAACACUGAAAAGAAUUCUAGAGUGAAAGUUUCAUGAAUAUAAGAAGCAAGACAAGGAAGUGGCUUAUGCUUAAGGCCUUAAAGGCAACCACUGUGACAAUCCAGCCAUUCUCUGGAGAAUUCAGCAGAAAGCCAGUUGGAAGAGACCAAGAUGCUGAACAGAACAGGAUUUGGUACAGCAGAGAGCAUGCAACUCUGGGAACUAUGGAAAAGGAUUCCAGGCAUCAUAAAGGAAGAAAGGCCAGAAAAGAAGGUCGUGGAUACCAAAAAUUCUGUGGACUACCUAAAAAAGCACCCAGGUUUGAAAUGGAAAUUACAAGCGCAAUAUUACAGAAGUGUGGAUUUUAGUUACAAUGUCUCUAUGAGAAAGUCUAAAAGUUAAACAUAAGCAAAACAACAAAAACAUCUAAAUACCAG